AACGCGAAGAACCUUACCCAGGCUCGAAAUGCAGAGGCAACCGACAGAGAUGUCGGGUUCCGCAAGGACUUCUGUAUAGGUGCUGCAUGGCUGUCGUCAGCUCGUGCCGUGAGGUGUUGGGUUAAGUCCCGCAACGAGCGCAACCCUUAUCAUUAGUUGCCAACGCGUAAUGGCGGGGACUCUAGUGAGACUGCCUAGGUUAACUAGGAGGAAGGUGAGGAUGACGUCAAGUCCGCAUGGCCUUUAUGUCUGGGGCUACACACGUGCUACAAUGGUCGGUACAGAAGGCUGCAAGACCGCAAGGUGGAGCAAAUCCGUAAAGCCGAUCUCAGUUCGGAUUGUAGUCUGCAACUCGGCUACAUGAAGUUGGAAUUGCUAGUAAUGACGUGUCAGCAACAACGUCGUGAAUACGUUCCCGGGCCUUGUA
rnacentral:rRNA from 1 species